rnacentral:tRNA from 1 species
GAGGGUAUAGCUUAGUGGUAGAGUGCAUGCCUAGCAUGCACAAGGUCCUGGGUUCAAUCCCCAGUGCCUCCA